rnacentral:rRNA from 1 species
UGUGACCUCAAAUCAGGUAGGACUACCCGCUGAACUUAAGCAUAUCAAUAAGCGGAGGAAAAGAAACUAACAAGGAUUCCCCUAGUAACUGCGAGUGAAGCGGGAAAAGCUCAAAUUUAAAAUCUGGCGGUCUCUUGGCUGUCCGAGUUGUAAUCUAGAGAAGUGUUAUCCGCGCUGGACCGUGUACAAGUCUCCUGGAAUGGAGCAUCAUAGAGGGUGAGAAUCCCGUCUUUGACAUGGACUGCCAGGGCUCUGUGAUGCGCUCUCAAAGAGUCGAGUUGUUUGGGAAUGCAGCUCAAAAUGGGUGGUAAAUUCCAUCUAAAGCUAAAUAUUGGCGAGAGACCGAUAGCGAACAAGUACCGUGAGGGAAAGAUGAAAAGAACUUUGGAAAGAGAGUUAAACAGUACGUGAAAUUGCUGAAAGGGAAACGCUUGAAGUCAGUCGCGUCAUCCAGGGAUCAACCUUGCUUUUGCUUGGUGCACUUUCUGGUUUGAUGGGUCAGCAUCAAUUUUGACCAUUGGAAAAAGGUUAGGGGAAUGUGGCAUCUUUGGAUGUGUUAUAGCCCUUGGUCACAUACAAUGGUUGGGAUUGAGGAACUCAGCAUGCCGCAAGGCCGGG